GACGAACGCUGGCGGCGUGCUUAACACAUGCAAGUCGAACGGAAAGGCCCUGCUUUUGUGGGGUGCUCGAGUGGCGAACGGGUGAGUAACACGUGAGUAACCUGCCCUUGACUUUGGGAUAACUUCAGGAAACUGGGGCUAAUACCGGAUAGGAGCUCCUGCUGCAUGGUGGGGGUUGGAAAGUUUCGGCGGUUGGGGAUGGACUCGCGGCUUAUCAGCUUGUUGGUGGGGUAGUGGCUUACCAAGGCUUUGACGGGUAGCCGGCCUGAGAGGGUGACCGGCCACAUUGGGACUGAGAUACGGCCCAGACUCCUACGGGAGGCAGCAGUGGGGAAUAUUGCACAAUGGGCGGAAGCCUGAUGCAGCAACGCCGCGUGCGGGAUGACGGCCUUCGGGUUGUAAACCGCUUUCGCCUGUGACGAAGCGUGAGUGACGGUGAUGGGUAAAGAAGCACCGGCUAACUACGUGCCAGCAGCCGCGGUGAUACGUAGGGUGCGAGCGUUGUCCGGAUUUAUUGGGCGUAAAGGGCUCGUAGGUGGUUGAUCGCGUCGGAAGUGUAAUCUUGGGGCUUAACCCUGAGCGUGCUUUCGAUACGGGUUGACUUGAGGAAGGUAGGGGAGAAUGGAAUUCCUGGUGGAGCGGUGGAAUGCGCAGAUAUCAGGAGGAACACCAGUGGCGAAGGCGGUUCUCUGGGCCUUUCCUGACGCUGAGGAGCGAAAGCGUGGGGAGCGAACAGGCUUAGAUACCCUGGUAGUCCACGCUGUAAACGGUGGGUACUAGGUGUGGGGUCCAUUCCACGGGUUCCGUGCCGUAGCUAACGCUUUAAGUACCCCGCCUGGGGAGUACGGCCGCAAGGCUAAAACUCAAAGGAAUUGACGGGGCCCCGCACAAGCGGCGGAGCAUGCGGAUUAAUUCGAUGCAACGCGUAGAACCUUACCUGGGUUUGACAUGGAUCGGGAGUGCUCAGAGAUGGGUGUGCCUCUUUUGGGGUCGGUUCACAGGUGGUGCAUGGCUGUCGUCAGCUCGUGUCGUGAGAUGUUGGGUUAAGUCCCGCAACGAGCGCAACCCUUGUUCACUGUUGCCAGCACGUUAUGGUGGGGACUCAGUGGAGACCGCCGGGGUCAACUCGGAGGAAGGUGGGGAUGACGUCAAGUCAUCAUGCCCCUUAUGUCCAGGGCUUCACGCAUGCUACAAUGGCUGGUACAGAGAGUGGCGAGCCUGUGAGGGUGAGCGAAUCUCGGAAAGCCGGUCUCAGUUCGGAUUGGGGUCUGCAACUCGACCUCAUGAAGUCGGUGUCGCUAGUAAUCGCAGAUCAGCAACGCUGCGGUGAAUACGUUCCCGGG
rnacentral:rRNA from 1 species